GACGAACGCUGGCGGCGUGCUUAACACAUGCAAGUCGAACGGAAAGGCCCUGCUUUUGUGGGGUGCUCGAGUGGCGAACGGGUGAGUAACACGUGAGUAACCUGCCCUUGACUUUGGGAUAACUUCAGGAAACUGGGGCUAAUACCGGAUAGGAGCUCCUGCUGCAUGGUGGGGGUUGGAAAGUUUCGGCGGUUGGGGAUGGACUCGCGGCUUAUCAGCUUGUUGGUGGGGUAGUGGCUUACCAAGGCUUUGACGGGUAGCCGGCCUGAGAGGGUGACCGGCCACAUUGGGACUGAGAUACGGCCCAGACUCCUACGGGAGGCAGCAGUGGGAAAUAUUGCACUAUGGGCGGAAGCCUGAUGCAGCAACGCCGCGUGCGGGAUGACGGCCUUCGGGUUGUAAACCGCUUUCGCCUGUGACGAAGCGUGAGUGACGGUAAUGGGUAAAGAAGCACCGGCUAACUACGUG
rnacentral:rRNA from 1 species